rfam:Trametes cinnabarina, BRFM137, WGS project CCBP01000000 data, contig: scf184925
GGCUCUAUAGCUCAGUGGUAGAGCAUACGAUUGCAGAUCGUGUGGUCCCGUGUUCGAACCACGGUGGGGCCU